rnacentral:lncRNA from 1 species
CUGAAUUAAUGUGAACGUCAGCAUUAUUUUUAUUUUGUAUGUAUUUAUUUUUGUUUUAACUUGAAUGUUUGUGGUGUUAAUCCAAUAACUUUACCGGAAACUGGAGGUUACACUGGACGGCAUGGGACUGACCCUCUUCGAAGGACUAACGCUCAUGAUGAUCGCUAAACCGCUAUCGUGUUAUGCGACUUCAGUUUGCCAGGAAUUAUGAACACUGGGGUGAAAAUGAAUGGAAGCACCUUUUGUUUACUGAUGAGUCGAGAUUUACGGUCUGCGGAUGAUCGUAAAAAGGAUAUGACGAAGACUACAAUAACAUUUGACAAAAAGUACCCUUAGUUCUAGAGUAAACUACCCAAUGGGUUUACCUAUAGUGUGGGCUGGAAUUUCUCUAGAGGCAUGCACACAAUUUUACGUCAUUUUAAGAGGCCCCUUAACUGCUGUCAGUUGCAUGAAAAUGCCUUGCUCUAACUCGCGAGAAUUACUCAAGAAUACUUAAAAGAUGUAGGCAUUGGAGUGGCCAGCGUUAAGUCCAGAUGCAAAUCCAACUGAACACGUUUUGGACAUGUUUGGGCGAAGACUACAAAUUCGUGUUCAAAGACUACGCAGUCCUGCUGUUAUAACAUUAAAUUAAUUAUAAUAUUACAUUAAAUACAUUAUUCCUCAAGAGACA